rnacentral:rRNA from 1 species
AUUUUAACACGAAGUGAGUGGCGGACGGGUGAGUAACACGUGGGUAACCUGCCCAGAAGCAGGGGAUAACACCUGGAAACAGAUGCUAAUACCGUAUAACAGAGAAAACCGCCUGGUUUUCUUUUAAAAGAUGGCUCUGCUAUCACUUCUGGAUGGACCCGCGGCGCAUUAGCUAGUUGGUGAGGUAACGGCUCACCAAGGCGAUGAUGCGUAGCCGACCUGAGAGGGUAAUCGGCCACAUUGGGACUGAGACACGGCCCAGACUCCUACGGGAGGCAGCAGUAGGGAAUCUUCCACAAUGGACGCAAGUCUGAUGGAGCAACGCCGCGUGAGUGAAGAAGGGUUUCGGCUCGUAAAGCUCUGUUGUUAAAGAAGAACGUGGGUGAGAGUAACUGUUCACCCAGUGACGGUAUUUAACCAGAAAGCCACGGCUAACUACGUGCCAGCAGCCGCGGUAAUACGUAGGUGGCAAGCGUUAUCCGGAUUUAUUGGGCGUAAAGCGAGCGCAGGCGGUCUUUUAAGUCUAAUGUGAAAGCCUUCGGCUCAACCGAAGAAGUGCAUUGGAAACUGGGAGACUUGAGUGCAGAAGAGGACAGUGGAACUCCAUGUGUAGCGGUGAAAUGCGUAGAUAUAUGGAAGAACACCAGUGGCGAAGGCGGCUGUCUGGUCUGUAACUGACGCUGAGGCUCGAAAGCAUGGGUAGCGAACAGGAUUAGAUACCCUGGUAGUCCAUGCCGUAAACGAUGAUUACUAAGUGUUGGAGGGUUUCCGCCCUUCAGUGCUGCAGCUAACGCAUUAAGUAAUCCGCCUGGGGAGUACGACCGCAAGGUUGAAACUCAAAAGAAUUGACGGGGGCCCGCACAAGCGGUGGAGCAUGUGGUUUAAUUCGAAGCUACGCGAAGAACCUUACCAGGUCUUGACAUCUUCUGCCAACCUAAGAGAUUAGGCGUUCCCUUCGGGGACAGAAUGACAGGUGGUGCAUGGUUGUCGUCAGCUCGUGUCGUGAGAUGUUGGGUUAAGUCCCGCAACGAGCGCAACCCUUAUUACUAGUUGCCAGCAUUCAGUUGGGCACUCUAGUGAGACUGCCGGUGACAAACCGGAGGAAGGUGGGGACGACGUCAAAUCAUCAUGCCCCUUAUGACCUGGGCUACACACGUGCUACAAUGGAUGGUACAACGAGUUGCGAAACCGCGAGGUUUAGCUAAUCUCUUAAAACCAUUCUCAGUUCGGACUGUAGGCUGCAACUCGCCUACACGAAGUCGGAAUCGCUAGUAAUCGCGGAUCAGCAUGCCGCGGUGAAUACGUUCCCGGGCCUUGUACACACCGCCCGUCACACCA